UUUAUGGAGAGUUUGAUCCUGGCUCAGGAUGAACGCUGGCGGCGUGCCUAAUACAUGCAAGUCGAGCGAACGGACGAGAAGCUUGCUUCUCUGAUGUUAGCGGCGGACGGGUGAGUAACACGUGGAUAACCUACCUAUAAGACUGGGAUAACUUCGGGAAACCGGAGCUAAUACCGGAUAAUAUUUUGAACCGCAUGGUUCAAAAGUGAAAGACGGUCUUGCUGUCACUUAUAGAUGGAUCCGCGCUGCAUUAGCUAGUUGGUAAGGUAACGGCUUACCAAGGCAACGAUGCAUAGCCGACCUGAGAGGGUGAUCGGCCACACUGGAACUGAGACACGGUCCAGACUCCUACGGGAGGCAGCAGUAGGGAAUCUUCCGCAAUGGGCGAAAGCCUGACGGAGCAACGCCGCGUGAGUGAUGAAGGUCUUCGGAUCGUAAAACUCUGUUAUUAGGGAAGAACAUAUGUGUAAGUAACUGUGCACAUCUUGACGGUACCUAAUCAGAAAGCCACGGCUAACUACGUGCCAGCAGCCGCGGUAAUACGUAGGUGGCAAGCGUUAUCCGGAAUUAUUGGGCGUAAAGCGCGCGUAGGCGGUUUUUUAAGUCUGAUGUGAAAGCCCACGGCUCAACCGUGGAGGGUCAUUGGAAACUGGAAAACUUGAGUGCAGAAGAGGAAAGUGGAAUUCCAUGUGUAGCGGUGAAAUGCGCAGAGAUAUGGAGGAACACCAGUGGCGAAGGCGACUUUCUGGUCUGUAACUGACGCUGAUGUGCGAAAGCGUGGGGAUCAAACAGGAUUAGAUACCCUGGUAGUCCACGCCGUAAACGAUGAGUGCUAAGUGUUAGGGGGUUUCCGCCCCUUAGUGCUGCAGCUAACGCAUUAAGCACUCCGCCUGGGGAGUACGACCGCAAGGUUGAAACUCAAAGGAAUUGACGGGGACCCGCACAAGCGGUGGAGCAUGUGGUUUAAUUCGAAGCAACGCGAAGAACCUUACCAAAUCUUGACAUCCUUUGACAACUCUAGAGAUAGAGCCUUCCCCUUCGGGGGACAAAGUGACAGGUGGUGCAUGGUUGUCGUCAGCUCGUGUCGUGAGAUGUUGGGUUAAGUCCCGCAACGAGCGCAACCCUUAAGCUUAGUUGCCAUCAUUAAGUUGGGCACUCUAAGUUGACUGCCGGUGACAAACCGGAGGAAGGUGGGGAUGACGUCAAAUCAUCAUGCCCCUUAUGAUUUGGGCUACACACGUGCUACAAUGGACAAUACAAAGGGCAGCGAAACCGCGAGGUCAAGCAAAUCCCAUAAAGUUGUUCUCAGUUCGGAUUGUAGUCUGCAACUCGACUACAUGAAGCUGGAAUCGCUAGUAAUCGUAGAUCAGCAUGCUACGGUGAAUACGUUCCCGGGUCUUGUACACACCGCCCGUCACACCACGAGUUUGUAACACCCGAAGCCGGUGGAGUAACCUUUUAGGAGCUAGCCGUCGAAGGUGGGACAAAUGAUUGGGGUGAAGUCGUAACAAGGUAGCCGUAUCGGAAGGUGCGGCUGGAUCACCUCCUUU
rnacentral:rRNA from 1 species